rnacentral:rRNA from 1 species
UACGGGGGGAGCAAGCGUUGUUCGGAUUACUGGGCGUAAAGGGCGCGUAGGCGGUCGUGGCAAGUCACUUGUGAAAUCUCCGGGCUUAACUCGGAACGGUCAAGUGAUACUGUCGGACUAGAGUACAGAAGGGGCAACUGGAAUUCUCGGUGUAGCGGUGAAAUGCGUAGAUAUCGAGAGGAACACCUGCGGCGAAGGCGGGUUGCU